rnacentral:rRNA from 1 species
AUGAAUCGUACAGACUCGACCGCAACGUAUUACAUAUACAACGCCCUACCUGUCCGAUCAAUCUUUGGCGGCGCCUCCACAAGCGGCGAGGAGACUCGGCGGAAGCACUAUUCAGUCAACUCGGCGCCGGCCCGCCAUGCCCGCCGUGGUGGAGGCGCAGGGCUUCUGCCUGCUCGACGAUCGAGGCAGGAGCAGUUUGACCACGAUAGAGCUCAGAAAGAGAUGGGGAAAGAGAGAGGAGCCCAUCACGAACAGGAAAAAAUAGACAACAGCGGAGGAGGAGCACGGAUGCUCGCCUUGCUCACCUGGAUCGAGGACGGCGGGCUUCAAGAGGACGACAUGGAGCUCGUUACAGCGACGUCAUGCCUGGCCGUGCCGCCCGGAUCGGUCGCACUGGUGUCUGGUGGUCACGCUCCAGCCGGAUGGCCAGGCACCAAGAGCCCAGGCGCCCAGCUACGAUCAGGCGCCGAAGGACAGCUUGGUGGGCAGCUUGUUGCCAGGAUCACAGGCUGCUUCGUGGUUGAUGGUGCCGGUUCUGAGGACAAUACUUCCAAUAUACAUAAGUUGAGCCCGCCAAGCCUGGAGAUACAAAAAAAAACGAUUCAACGGAAGCUCACUCUCGCACGAGAACCAGAGACGCCCGGCGCUAGGGUUCCCUCCGCCGCCGCGCCCAAUGCCUCCGCUCCCAGCAACCCUCGCUACUUUCUCCCAUCCCCUUGCAGUCGCCGUCGUAGUGCCCCGCCAUUGGUCACGGUGGAGACAGCUUCUGUCGCGCCGCUGGAUCAACGGUGGCGGCUGGAGCUUGUCAAACGGCGUCGCUGGAGGUCAACGCUGCGGCUCGAGUGGCUGGGGGUGGCGCGGCUGCUCGAUGUAGAGCGGCGGGGGCGGCUGGAUCGGCGGUGGCAGCUGGAGCUUGCAGAACGGCGGCGGCGGAGGCUGGAGCUUGUAGAUCGGCGGGCCAACCUGAGCAACAGCUCCAAGGAGGACGCCACCAGGUGCCUGGUAUGGCUGGGGGACCUCAUCGACGCCAAGAAGUUGGGAGGCAGUGCUGCUGGCAGCGACACGCUGCUCCUCCCUGUCGUUGGCGUGGCUACUGCAGGCAUGCUGGUGCUCACAUGCUUAUCCAUUGUCAUAUGGAUUUGCAGGUCCAAAGACACGGUGGUUUUGGCAACGUCCAAUGUCGCCGCCGUGGAGUUCACUGGAAGAAGAACAUCGGUCGAGCAUUCCAAUGUCGCCUCCGCUGAGUUCGCCACCGAGCCAUCCAAUGUCGCCUCUGCUGAGUUCACUGGAGGAAGAACAUCCGCCGUCCGAACGUGCUACACCAGAGGCGUGGUCUGGAUAGCAGCUAAGAUUGGCCGGAUAGCCCACGGGUCUGCUUUAGUAACACUAGGUUCUACAACAGCUGAGGCAAGCACGGCAGAGUCUGUCAAAACUUCAGAUCCUGCACAUGCAGUUGAGCUGCAAUCUUCACCGCCAACAGCAGUCCAUAAGCUUCUACCUGCAGAGCUGAUGCUACUGGUGGCGACACAACAGAGAUGUAUACAUGUUCGGAUUGGGCCACAGCACGCACACGAAGCUAGCCCAAGAAAAUACAGGAGCACGCCGUCUUAUUUUGCCAUCCUUGGAACGCCAAAAGGAAAAAAAAAUGCAAAAAGUUGUGUAAACCCGGAUUCGAACCAGGGCCGCUCAGAGUUAGGCCUAGCACCGCUAGGCAAUAAGGCCAGCUCGCCUUUCAAGAUUCAACUCAGGAGAGUGUACAGAACAUGCAGGUUUGUAUUCUUUCCGGUGUAUGUUGGUCAUGCAUCGGAUGUCACUCGGUUUCUAGGAAUUUCAAGAUGGCAUGAAUCUACAGCAGCACUUCAAAACUCCCAGGUUGUUUUCAUCAGCAAGCUUACAGCUGACCACAUGGUGUUACUCGAUAAUACAACAUUGUACGAUGCACCUGAGAUUCCAAUGGAUACCUGUCGAAGCGAUGUGGUCAUCAGCAUGUAUGCUCUCAAUCUUCUGAAGUCAGGGAAGGAGAAAAGGAUGUUGUUGUCGCGUGGUCGUCAGAACGACUGGCCGUGGACGCAGCCAUGCACUGGAUGCCAUCAAUGGCUAGCUGUGGACGAGCACCUCGCCGCCUCCGCAAAAUAUGAAUGCACGGGAUUCUGCUACUAA